rnacentral:rRNA from 1 species
AGUGAACGCUGGCGGUAGGCCUAACACAUGCAAGUCGAACGGCAGCACAGUAAGAGCUUGCUCUUACGGGUGGCGAGUGGCGGACGGGUGAGGAAUACAUCGGAAUCUACUUUUUCGUGGGGGAUAACGUAGGGAAACUUACGCUAAUACCGCAUAAGACCUACGGGUGAAAGCAGGGGAUCUUCGGACCUUGCGCGACUGAAUGAGCCGAUGUCGGAUUAGCUAGUUGGCGGGGUAAAGGCCCACCAAGGCGACGAUCCGUAGCUGGUCUGAGAGGAUGAUCAGCCACACUGGAACUGAGACACGGUCCAGACUCCUACGGGAGGCAGCAGUGGGGAAUAUUGGACAAUGGGCGCAAGCCUGAUCCAGCCAUACCGCGUGGGUGAAGAAGGCCUUCGGGUUGUAAAGCCCUUUUGUUGGGAAAGAAAAGCAGCAGGUUAAUACCCCGCUGUUCUGACGGUACCCAAAGAAUAAGCACCGGCUAACUUCGUG